AUGUUUCAAUAUAUGUGAUAUCUGUCAAUAUAUGUGAUAUCUGUCAUGUGAAGCAUUCCUGUUAUAUACUAUAUUUUGUACUUGGAUUUAUUUCUCAAUUUAAAAAAAUUAAAAAAAUAAGUCCGGCUUGCCUGCGCUUUCUUCACUCCUCCUCUCACUGACUGCAGCUAUACUCUCACACAUUUAGUUGAUAGGCGCAUCUCAAACUGCCUGCUUGUGCUGCGGUUGAUCUCUCGCAGCACUGGAUGUGUUGUCUCUUUUGCUCAUCACAAGAUAUUACCAAAGGGAAAAUAUAUGAGGAAUUACAGCAUGGAGAACAUGUAUUGAGCUUCACAAACACAGAAUAAUGAAACGUGUGGACAAGAGAGAAAGAGAAAAAUGGGCAAUAAAAAUGACAAAACAUUACAAUCUACUGAACCCGAAAGGAAAAACAUGCCGAGAGUCAGAAGAAGAAACAGCCUCUACAGCGGCAAACCAAACUUUUCUCAUGCUUCACCGAUUCAUCGUGAUGUUUCAGAGUCACAGAAAAGGUUGACGCCCAGCAGCACAGAUCUGAGACCUGUCAUGACGUGCCUAACUUCAGGGUCCGAGUGUCAGCUGCAUAAUCGAUGGAGAUAUGUCUGUCUGUAUAUGUGUGGAAAAUCACUGUGUGUGUGUGUGUGUGUGUGUGUGUGUUGAAGGGUAUAACAGC